rnacentral:lncRNA from 1 species
AUCUCUCUGUCAAAUAAAUAAAUAAAAUCUUAAAAAAUAAAAAAAAAAUUGUGAUGAAAUCCAAUUUAUCAAUUUUUUUAUGAAUCAUAUUUUUUGUGUCAGUAAUACUUUUUGCCUAGCCCUGGGUCUUGAAGAUUUCUUCCUACAAUUUUUUUCUUUUAGUUUUAUAGUUCACAUUUUACACGUUAGUCAAUGAUCCAUUUCGAUGUCAUUUUUGUAUAAAGUAUGAAACAAGUUGAGGUUCACUUUUACGGCCAAAGCACCAUUUGUUGAAAAGCUACCUUUUCUCCAAUGAAUUGCUUUUGUAGCUUCAUCAAAAAUAAGUUGGGCAUAUUGCUAGUUGGUGUCUCAGUUCUCUAUUCUGUUCCACUGACCCAUCAAAUGUGCCAGUCCCAUACAGAUUUCAUGAUUGCUUCUAUAUAUUAAGUCUUGAAAUCAGGUAGAUUGAUUUCUUCUACUUUAUUCUUCUUUUCAAAAUUGUUUCAGCUAUUUUAAUACUUUUGAUAAAAAGCUUUAGUCUUCUGGUAUAAGUUUUAGAAUAACCUUAUCUAUAGCUUAAAGAAUCUUGCUGGGGGUAUGUGGGAGACUCAGUUAAAUGUCAGGCUUUUGAUUUCCGCUCAGGUCAUGAUCUCAGGGUCAUGAGAUGGAGCCACACAUUGAGAUCUAUGCUGGACAUGGAGCCUGCACUAGCUUGAACUUCCAUUUGAAUUCAACUAUGCUGAAGAAAAAUGGUUUCCGCUGGAGCCCAUUCCAGCCAGCGUGCCCCACCUUACUGAGGUGAUGCUUCCAGGGAGCUGGAGAGACAGCAAGUCACCAAUUUUGGAAUAGAUCACCAAUUCUUCGAUGGAGCCCCGCAUUAUGCAGUUACCUGUGCUUGGAUGGGGGGAAUAUUAGAAGAAAUGGAUUUGAUAACAUAUGGCCAAAAAGAGAGAUGGUAGAAACUAGACAGACAUAGACAAUCCUCAAAUACUCACUGCCCAUCCAGCCUGAGGAGAUGUUCACCCUCCUGGAAGGCUGAGGAGCCGAGACUGAAUUCACUCCUCUGACUUCACCCUUCCUCCAGGAUAGGCUCACGGUGAGUUUUUAAUGUUACUCUAACAAAAUGCC